CACACACGCUCGCACAUACCACACCGUCAACGUGGACGUCUGUGUACGCGUAUGUGUGCUCGACUCAGGUGCCAUUAGGAAGCAAAAGGCAGCCGAGAGACGACGACACGCCAGCCCUUUCCUUUGCACCAUGUCUAUUCGGCAUCCAUCAAGCCAGCAGAUCUGCGCACAUGCACCGCCACAGCUCACCUGCCCCUGCGACAACACCGCUACAUCCCCGCUGUGUAGGGCGAGCUGUCUGUGGUCGAAUCGGGCCAUGCGCCUCACCGUCUCGUCCCGUCCUUCCUCGACCCUACUCGACCCUCCUUCGCCGACGCGCUGCGCGGUCGGCGCCAAACAGAGAUGGGUGAGCUCUGCAUGCCUUGAUGCGGGUGGGCCGCGCUUGUGGUUCUGCUCGAGGGCGGCGGCGGUGGCGCCUCGUGCGGGCAACAGGCGGUGGUCUGGGUGCGUGACGGAUGAGCGCAGGGAGGACGCUGGCCACGUCCCGGUGAGGGCCCUGUGAGACCCGGCACUCGGUCUGUACGCCAUGCUUCUUCCUUAGCCAGCUCAAGCCGCGGCAUGCAGUAACGCGGUGUGUGGGCUCGCCGCGUGGGAGUGCGCAGAGCUCGGUGGUGCCACUCGGGCUACUCUGGUCAUGCCUCCGGCAUCUGCGCCACAUCAGCCCAGCGGGUGGGGGAUGCAGGCGAUGCCGCACAUGCCGCACACGUGCACUGUUGGGCUGCCCGGUGCGCGCCUCUUCUCAGCCUCUCCCGUCCAUCGCUCUUGCUCUUCUGACCUCUGCAUGCUUUGCUUGGAUGCGGCACGCCGUGCCAG
rnacentral:misc_RNA from 1 species